rnacentral:rRNA from 1 species
UACGUAGGUGGCAAGCGUUGUCCGGAUUCAUUGGGCGUAAAGGGUGCGUAGGCGGCGCGGUAAGUCGGAUGUGAAAUCUCGGAGCUUAACUCCGAAACUGCAUUCGAUACUGCCGUGCUUGAGGACUGGAGAGGAGACUGGAAUUUACGGUGUAGCGGUGAAAUGCGUAGAUAUCGUAAGGAAGACCAGUGGCGAAGGCGGGUCUCUGGACAGUUCCUGACGCUGAGGCACGAAGGCCAGGGGAGCAAACGGG